rnacentral:rRNA from 1 species
CCUACGGGUGGCAGCAGUGAGGAAUAUUGGUCAAUGGACGAGAGUCUGAACCAGCCAAGUAGCGUGAAGGAUGACUGCCCUAUGGGUUGUAAACUUCUUUCAUAAAGGAAUAAAACGAGGCACGUGUGCCUUUUUGCAUGUACUCUAUGAAUUAUGAGCGGCUAACUCCGUGCCAGCAGCCGCGGUAAUACGGAGGAUCCGAGCGUUAUCCGGAUUUAUUCGGUUUAAAGGGAGCGUAGAUGGGUUGUUAAGUCAGUUGUGAAAGUUUGCGGCUCAACCGUAAAAUUGCAAUUGAUACUGGCAGUCUUGAGUAAAGUUGAGGUAGGCGGAAUGCGUGGUGUAGCAGUGAAAUGCUGAGAUAUCACGAAGAACCCCGAUUGCGAAGGCAGCUUACUAAACUGUGACUGACAUUGAGGCUCGAAGGUGUGGGUAUCAAAAAGGAUUAGAUACCCCUGUAGUC